CAGAGGUUUGAGAAAAUGGGAGUAAAAAUCAUUCUUACUUUACACAACUGUGGUCAGUAUUUUUCUGAUGGGGAAGAGGAGGGGAGCUGCAAGUAAGCUUUCUGUGCUGUUCCGUUUUUUUUUUUGUUUGUUUGUUUUUUUUAACCCACUUCCUCUCACUCCUCCCUGUAGUGUACCAACACACACUUCAGAUCCUUUCUCACACAAGGCUGAGCUUGAGAGUGAAAAUGUUUUUUAAAUCAUUUAAUAACAUGCAACCUAAUGUCAAUAUGACAUUGAUUCAGAUCAAGAAUUUGCAUCUAGGACUUUGCACCAUUGUGUUUCUUCUAACUUGUGGAGAUUGUACCAAGUCAUAUGAGAAAAAUAUUCUACUCCAGAUGAACAGAACUGCUUUUAAGGGGGAAACUGUUGUUUUUCACUGCAAUGGAACUCUGACUAGUGAACUUCAAGAUAUUGGUUGGCGUAAAGAUGGGAAUCUUAUUUUUAUCUACAGCCCAGUUAAAAACCGAACUGUGUUCAACUACACAUCGAGCAGGAUGCAGGUUAAUCCCCGAAUUCCAAGAGAACUACAGAUAUCUGAUGUACAGCUUUCAGAUGCAGGAGUAUACUCAUGUUUUUCAUUUGACAUGCAGUGGAUAUUAACCGUAUAUAUAGAAGAGAAUGAACAACAGCAAAAUACAACAAAACUACGGUACAUAGUUCCCUCAGUUACAGGAGCUGCUGCAAUAUGCGUCAUUAUCUUCUGUGCUGUGUGUAUUCAUAGGAAAAAUAAGAAGAAAGAGGCAUCUGAUCAGAGAGACACAAUGGAUGACCAUCAACCACAUGGAGGAAGAAUGAACCGCAAUCAGAGCAGCCAGUAUUUUGAGAGAUUUAAUUCAGUUUAUGGACAAAUACAGAGCUGAAUAUUUCUCAAGAAUACUACAGGGCACAGAACAUCAACCAGUUUUGGGUCUACGAGUGUGGAUAUUUAGCUGGUGUCACCUGAAAAGACAAUGUAUGCCUGAAAAUCGACUGAUUACAUAUGUGGCGCUCUUCUGGAAAAUGUUGAUGUGAAAAUCAGACAGGCUGCACAGUACACAGUACACCUUGUGUAGUUCUUAUGAACAAGCUAUUAACUGCACAGUCAAUUUUCUGAACUAUCUAUUACAGAUACAAGUAUUUGGACACUUGACCAUCAUAGCCAUAUUUACAUUUAUGGCAUUUGGCAGACACCAUUAUCCAGAGUGACUUACAGAAGUGCUUUGAAGUCUCCAUCAAUAAACAUACCCUGAUACUAGUUCACUAAUCACAGACUAAAAAUACUAUCAGUCUAAGAACUCUGUUAGGGAGGUAAUAUAGUAGGAAAGCACACAGACAACACAAUUUAUUUAUUUAUUUAUUUUUUAUUAACUGCUAAUUUAAGUACUUCAAGAAGCGGUAGGUCUUUAGAUGUCAUUUGAAGACUGCUAGUGACUCAGCCCUUUGGACAUCUAGGGUAAUACAUUCCAGAACCUAGGUGCUUUGAGGUAAGUGGGUGCUGGUUCGUUUUGGCUUUGUAGGCAAGCAUGAUUGUUUUAAAUCUGAUGCGGGCAGCUACAGGAAGCCAGUGGAGGGAAUAUAGCAAUUGGGUGGUGUGGGAGAACUUAGGAAGGUUGAAAAUAAGUCAUCCAGCUGCAUUUUUGAUCAGUUGCAGAGGUCGAAUUGCACUCAGAGGCAAACCUGCCAGAAGCAAAUUGCAGUAGUCCAGUCUCAAACUGAACAAGCACCUGAAUGGCCUGUGUGGAUAGUAAUGGAUGAAUGCUUCUGAUCUUGUAAAGGAGAAACUGACAUGAGCAUGUCAGAUUAGGCACUGUAAGAAGAAAAUGACAGUUGAUUGUCCAUGGUUACCACAAGGUUGCAUGCAGUGACCGAAGGUGAGGUCAGAGAGUUGUCCAGGGAGAUCACAAGAUCCUGCCACGAGGAUGAAUCACCUGGGAUGAACAGCAGUUCAGUUUUGCUCAGAUUAACUUUCAGCUGAUGAGCUGCCAUCCAUGAUGAGUUGUCUGUAAGACAUGCUGAUAUCUGAGCAGAAAUAUGAGUGUCUGAGGGAGGGAAGGAGAGGAUGAGUUGAGUAUCAUCCGCAUAGCAGUGGUAUGAAAGAUACAUAUGUGCUUGUUCAAUUUUCCAAUCCAAAUCCACUCUUGUCACUAAAUAUUGGAGCAUGGCUGUGGGGAUUUACCCAUUUAACCACAAGAAUAUUAGGCAUGCACUGAUCUCAAGCGAGAAGAUCUAGUGUGCAUUCAGCAUUCCAUUUCAUCCAAAGUUGUUCAGUGGGGUUGAGGUCAGGGCUCUGUGCAGGCCUCUUGAGUUCUUUCACUCCAGUCUUUGCAAACCAUGUCUUUAUGGAGCUCGCUGUGUACUAGGGCAUUUUCAUGCUGGAACCGGUUUGGGCCCCUUAGUUCUUGUAAGGGGAGUAAGGGGAAACUUAAUGCUACAGCAUAGAUAUUCUAUACAAUUGUGUGCUUCCAACUUUGUGGCAACCAUUUUGGGAAAGCCCAGGUAUGGUGUGAUGGUAAGGUGUCCACAUGCUUUUGGUCAUAUACAGUAUGAAAAUGGACAGCAACACCAGAUUGUGAACAGUUUCAUUAUUUGAAAACAUUAAGAAUAUUACUGGUCAGGAUUCAAAGCACCUAUUUUUAACAUUUAAUAAAUUAUUUAUUAAACCAUCAAUUUGAACAAAUCCUAGUGGUUGAUUUCUGUUCUUGAAGGAAGAAGUAUCUUUCUUUCAUCAAACAAGUUUUCCCAGCUAGGGGUUGGUAUCAGGUUGGAAGCCCCUGAAAUAUUUUCCAGUUCCAAAUGCUUAUUCUUAGAUGGUUAACGUAACACACAUACAACACAGCUGAUUAAAGCAUAUACCCUUUAAAAACAUUAUUAUAAUGCAAGUACUGCCAAAAUAUUAUUCAUAAGUCAGAUAAUGCUAUUUUGCAUAGUAAUUUUGCUAUAUGGAUGCCAUCAUUGCAAUUACAUAUUUAACCACCCAAAAUGUCAAAUAAAUAUGCU